CGAGGGGCUCGGCAACGUGCUUUGGUAAAAAUCCUGGAGGCAUGGGUAGGCUUUCUUCAGCAAGGGACUCGGCAGUGUGCUUUGGUGAAAAUCCUGGAGAGAGUUUGGCUAUCUCUUGAGCUGCCUCCAGAGAGCAGGUUUACAAAGAAGGGAACUGACUGACUGAGGUCUGCAUCACUGGACUCCCUGCCAGCUGGCUUCCAAUUGGGUUUGGCCAACAGCACACACAGGCAGAUCAGAACACAGAAGGAGAGAGGGGUUGGGUCAUGUCUUCCUUGCUGCUUCCCUGCCUUGGUACUGUAUCUCUGGCAUGAAUUCCUCCAUGAUGGCAGCUUCUGCUGAGGGGCCCCACCUGGGUUCCUGCUUUUUCUGAGGAUUUUAACACAGCCAACUUGUAACCACGAAGGAAGCAUCACCAACAAACUGAGGAUGCCUGAUCAGAAACAUGGAAAAAGUUAACAUGCUUGCUGAUAGUGUUGAUACUGGCCAACCUCAUUACAGCCUGCUUGCAGAUUUCUUGAUAGGGAAGGCAAUAAAUAUUUGUGUGGCUUAUGCCACUCUUUACUGAGUAAUUUUUUACCUGUUGCAAAAUUAUCCUAACUGAAACAGAGGACUUGAAAAAGUGAGGACAUCGCACUGAUUCAAAUGAACCUUAGUUGUAACAAUUUAAUCAGGGAAAACAAACACACAGCUGUUCUGGUGAAAAAAUCUUGCAAUCAUUUAAAAUCUUGGAGUUGAGCUAUGUGGGACCAAGAUGGCUGACUAGAAGCAGUGGCGAUUGGAGGCUCCCAUGGAAAA
rnacentral:lncRNA from 1 species